rnacentral:rRNA from 1 species
GACGAACGCUGGCGGUGUGCCUAACACAUGCAAGUCGAACGGUAAGGCCCUUUCGGGGGUACACGAGUGGCGAACGGGUGAGUAACACGUGAGUAACCUGCCCUCAUCUCUGGGAUAACAGUCGGAAACGGUUGCUAAUACUGGAUAUGAGCUUGCAAGGCAUCUUGUGGGUUGGAAAGAUUUUUUUGGUUGGGGAUGGACUCGCGGCCUAUCAGCUUGUUGGUGAGGUAGUGGCUCACCAAGGCUUCGACGGGUAGCCGGCCUGAGGGGGCGACCGGCCACAUUGGGACUGAGAUACGGCCCAAACUCCUACGGGAGGCAGCAGUGGGGAAUAUUGCACAAUGGACGGAAGGCUGAUGCAGCAACGCCGCGUGCGGGAUGACGGCCUUCGGGUUGUAAACCGCUUUCAAUUGUGACGAAGCUUUUUGUGACGGUAGCAGUAGAAGAAGCACCGGCUAACUACGUG